rnacentral:rRNA from 1 species
UACAGAGGUGGCAAGCGUUGUUCGGAAUUACUGGGCGUAAAGGGCGCGUAGGCGGCCUUCUAAGUCAGACGUGAAAUCCCCCGGCUUAACCUGGGAACUGCGUCUGAUACUGGGAGGCUUGAGUAUGGGAGAGGGGGAUGGAAUUCCGCGUGUAGCAGUGAAAUGCGUAGAUAUGCGGAGGAACACCGAUGGCGAAGGCAGUCCCCUGGGCCCGUACUGACGCUCAUGCACGAAAGUGUGGGGAUCAAACAGG